GGUCGUUGACAUACUAACUUAUGAUUGUUUGCUGGGACUAAGGAAAGAUGAUAUAAAGCUUAUCAGCUUAUUUAAGCUUAAAUGUCAUCAGUCUUCAGCUUAUUCAGCUACAAAAUGGUAAUUACCAAUGAGUUAGAAGUCCAAUCUUGGCACAAAUUAUUUUAUUAUCUAAUUAAACAGUCUAAUGGUAACUUCAUUCUUCCUGCCUAGCAAAUAAAAACAAAAGUACAAAGAGUGAUUGAACCGACAUUUUGGUUUUGACAUUUGACAGUCUUGAAAGUCAUUACUUGUUCCAUUUAACAAAUCUGAAGAAUCCGUCUCUCUCUCUCUCUCUCUCUCUCUCUCUCUCUCUGUGCAGGUUUAUGUCAUCAAUGUUACUAGAAGUUGCCCGUGAACACAACUCUGUUGUCGCAGUUGUUGGUAAGGGUCACCUGCCAGGAAUCAAGAAGAACUGGAAGCAACCUAUUGAGGUUAAGGAACUGCUAUCAAUACCCUCGCGCAAGCCUGUCAUUACUGUUGCGAAAGUUUUGACAACCAUUGGAGCUGCAGUUGCAGGAGUGACCAUAAUAUCUUGCAUCUAUGUUUCAAGCAAGAAAUAAUCAUGAGAGAUGUCUCAGAUAUAUGUGUCUUGGCUUCCAAUUUAGACAUCACCGAGGCUAAUCUAUUGCGACUUUCAGCAUCUGAGGUGGCCGUACAUUGCUGCUGCUCUUCUACAUUUUCAGCAGUUGAGGGUCAUUACAUUGAGGAAAGGGAAAUUGUCAUCUUGCAAAAUUUCCUGUGGACACCAGAGGAAGCUUUUCUAAAUUCUAAAAAAUUGCAUGCAGAGCGAUAAUAAGAAGUAAUUUUCCCAUAGCCCUUAACUUGUUCAAUUCACAUCUUUUAUGAUCAUCCCCCCUUUCUCUCCAAAUUUCACUUGAUCUCGCUGUUUCUGUCUUCCGAAAAUGGUGCAUUGGCUCCUCAGCUUGUUCUCUAAUUUGAUAUAUUUAGCCUGUCGUUUUGUUAUGCAGCAGAAUCUUGGUCAUAUAACAGAGCAACAUAAAUUGAACACAAAUUUAAAUAGUUGCAUUCCUAUACAAUGGACUUUUGACUGUUCAACAUAUUGUGAGGCCCAUAUAUUGGGCAGAUAUAUCAAACCCCCUGUCCCCUAAUUUCCAGUUGUAGUUUUCUUCAAACGCAUUAGCACAUUAGACAGCUUUCUCGAGUUUUGGGUGCAGAAUUGGCCUUCCAAUUUGGCUGAGUUGAAGUCGAACAUUAUGAUAAACUAGCAAUAGAGAUAAUCUGAUAUCAGGAGCAACCCUCUUUUCUUUUGGGUUUUUGGCUGGGGAUUUGAAGUCAGUAGUAGCUAGUUUAACCUGAGGUGCAUGUCUUUUUUCCUAGUACUUCAUUAGGUCCAUAUUGGCAGGAAUUGCUUGAUUGCUUUGUU